rnacentral:rRNA from 1 species
AUACGGGAGGCAGCAGUGAGGAAUAUUGCACAAUGGGGGAAACCCUGAUGCAGCGACGCCGCGUGGGUGAUGAAGGCCUUCGGGUUGUAAAGCCCUGUCGGCUGGGAAAAAGGUAGUCGUGCUAAUACCACGAUUGCUUGAUGGUACCAGCAAAGGAAGCACCGGCUAACUCUGUGCCAGCAGCCGCGGUAAUACAGAGGGUGCAAGCGUUGUUCGGAAUUACUGGGCGUAAAGGGUGCGUAGGCGGUUAUGUAAGUCAGAUGUGAAAUCCCAGAGCCUAACUCUGGAACUGCAUUUGAAACUACAUGACUUGAGUGAAGUAGAGGUUGGCGGAAUUCCCAGUGUAGAAGUGAAAUUCGUAGAUAUUGGGAGGAACACCGGAGGCGAAGGCGGCCAACUGGGCUUUUACUGACGCUGAGGCACGAAAGCGUGGGGAUCAAACAGGAUUAGAUACCCCGGUAGUCAC